GAGGCAGCAGUGGGGAAUAUUGGACAAUGGGGGCAACCCUGAUCCAGCCAUGCCGCGUGUGUGAAGAAGGCCUUCGGGUUGUAAAGCACUUUCAGUAGGGAAGAAAAGCCUAAGGUUAAUAACCUUGGGUCUUGACGGUACCUACACAAGAAGCACCGGCUAAUUCCGUGCCAGCAGCCGCGGUAAUACGGAAGGUGCAAGCGUUAAUCGGAAUCACUGGGCGUAAAGAGCGCGUAGGCGGUUAGAUAAGUUGGGUGUGAAAGCCCUGGGCUCAACCUGGGAACUGCAUUCAAUACUGUCUGACUAGAGUGUAAUAGAGGGAGGCGGAAUUCCGCAUGUAGCGGUGAAAUGCGUAGAGAUGCGGAGGAACACCAAUGGCGAAGGCAGCCUCCUGGAUUAACACUGACGCUGAGGCGCGAAAGCGUGGGGAGCAAACAGGAUUAGAUACCCUGGUAGUCCACGCCGUAAACGAUGUCAACUAGCCGUCGGGAGCAAUUUGGCUCCUGGUGGCGCAGCUAACGCGAUAAGUUGACCGCCUGGGGAGUACGGUCGCAAGAUUAAAACUCAAAGGAAUUG
rnacentral:rRNA from 1 species